rnacentral:rRNA from 1 species
UACGUAGGGGGCUAGCGUUGUCCGGAUUUAUUGGGCGUAAAGGGCGCGUAGGCGGCCUGGCAAGUGGAAGGUGAAAUCCCUCGGCUUAACCGAGGAACUGCCUCCCAAACUGCUUGGCUCGAGACCGGGAGAGGUGAGUGGAAUUCCCAGUGUAGCGGUGAAAUGCGUAGAUAUUGGGAGGAACACCAGUGGCGAAGGCGGCUCACUGGACCGGUACUGACGCUGAUGCGCGAAAGCGUGGGGAGCAAACGGG